GAAUGUGGAUAUUUGUUGUAGUG
rnacentral:siRNA from 1 species